GCAGGGUUUUUGAUUAUUUAUCGACAGCUCUAUUUUGUGUAAUUUUCUUACCUAACGCUAAUUAUCAGUUUCAUUUUCUUUGAAAAUGCAUUUUAUUUUGUUGGUCCAUGUCAAAACAUAAAAUUUAAACAAAAAUGGGUUACUUACUAUAGGAUCUAAUCCAAUUUCAUUUAUGUGUACAUAAAUGGCGUGAAUGAUGUUUUAGCGUUCCAUUUCUUAUAUUCUUUUUGGGUGUUACGUACUUAUUUUGUGGAAUGAAAUUAGUGUUGUAUCUCCUCUUUUGGAUUUGAUCUGCACUUAGAGGCAUCCUUUUGAAUCCACAAAAGGCAUUGCUUGAACAUGUGGUUGCUCCUUAGUCUAAAUCGCAUAUUAUCUUCUGAAAUCCGAGAAAUUCAUAGUAAAGUUUGCAGCUUGAAUUUUGUCUUCGAGUUCUCGGAUUAUUAAUGGAAGUAUAUUUGAAGAGUUGAUCUUCACUUUAGGUACCAAUAUUUAUUCAUCUUUUGAUCUUUUUGGAAUCUUUUGUGUUUAGUUUAUGUUAGGUGGGUAUACUUUCUGGGUUUUGAUUUGUUUCAUUAUGCAUUACGCCUUCUUAAUGAUUUGCCUUUUGAAUCUAUGGAGUUAGAGGUGACGGUGAGAGGAAGGAUGGGAAUGUUCCCUUAAAAAGACUUGAAGAACAAAUUUUUAGUCUUCUCUAGAAAAAAUUUAUUUUGGUCCCCCUAAAAAUUUUGCAACAAAUAUUUACUUUUUGUUGCUCCUCUUAACUAUAAACUGUGGAUCAGCCUCAGUAAUUAUUUUCUCAAUUAGCUUGGAAGAAUGGCGGCUCUAUAAAUGAUCAGUGUAUAUAUGAUCUCACUUGACUGAAAUUUGUAUACUUAUUUUUAUCUUCUUUUCCGUGUUGAAGUUGAUCUUUGCAGCAUCUACCCUUUUUUGUCCAAAUUUUUUUUCUUUCUUUCUUUUUUUUUUUAGCUGAACAAUGGCAGCCCAAACCCAUUAUAUAUCCAUAAUCCAUUGUAUGCCCAAAAUUCCCAAAUUGAAAUCCCAAUUUUCCCGAAUGCUUGUGACCUUGUCUCCGUCUCUCUCGAGUCUCGACUUCUCCUUCUAGUCUCCAGCUCUGCUUUGUACUUGGGCUUCGUCUGACAUAUUGCUUCUGUCGAGUGUCUGGGCAUUUUUGUGGUUGAACGAGUGCGUUCGAGACUUCGAGUUCCCUAGUGAGUUCCAACUCUUUUACCAUUUAGUUAUUAUAAUUUAGAAUCUUUGAU
rnacentral:lncRNA from 1 species